rnacentral:rRNA from 1 species
UACGGGGGGUGCAAGCGUUAUCCGGAUUCACUGGGUUUAAAGGGUGCGUAGGCGGGUUGGUAAGUCCGUGGUGAAAUCUCCAAGCUUAACUUGGAAACUGCCGUGGAUACUAUCAAUCUUGAAUAUCGUGGAGGUAAGCGGAAUAUGUCAUGUAGCGGUGAAAUGCUUAGAUAUGACAUAGAACACCAAUUGCGUAGGCAGCUUACUACACGAUCAUUGACGCUGAGGCACGAAAGCGUGGGGAGCAAACAGG